CGUACCCGCGUCCUCUUCUUCUCCACGCACUCCAAUUUCCCUCUUCACUUUACCAUCUCCUCGAAUCUACUAUUCUUACCCGCGUCCUCUUCUUCUCCACGCACUCCAAUCACUUUACAUCUCCUUGAAUCUACUUUUGCCGCCUACAUUACUCCAUUGAAGAUGGCUCCUGGAACAAGAAGAUCCUUAGCUCGAAGGGCAGCUGAUGUUGACACCAUUCAGCCUUCAGAUCCGACUCCCGAAAUUGCUGCAGACACAAGCACAACAACUUAGGGAUUCGGUCAAUCCAAUACAAUUGUUUCACGACACUCAUUGGAGCGCCGAGAAAGGGUGAGUUAAUGAACAAGCAAGAGAGCUAUAUGAGAAAAUGAUUGAGAUGCAAGAGGAAACCCAGGCAGGGGAAAGUGAAAGAUCGGAAGCUGAAAUAUGCGAGGAAUUGCUUGGUAAAGCUUCCGGCUUCAACCAGAAUUUUGCAUUCUUAGUGACUCAGCAGCAAGAUACAACAGAUGCAGCAGAGCUAAGGCACACAGUUGAACAACAAAAAAAAUGGAUUCAUGAUUUGGAGGAGUAGCUCAUAAUGUUUGUGUUAGACCUCCCAUACAUAAGGUCUAUAAAUCCAAGGGCAAAAGUAGGAAUAAGAAUAAAGAGGUGCUGGGUAUGAGUUUGUUUUCAGGGGUUGAGGUGUACAAUAAAAGUUGUUAGGAUGUUGGAGUCUGUUAUGAGUCUGGACAGGUGGCUGGACAGGUGGCUGUCAAGUCUGUUACAGAAGGGAAUAACUUGCUUAUAAAUGGGAAAGAGAGUGGAGGGUAGGAAAUAGUUUAUAUUCUGGAAAUUGGGUGGGAGGUCCCCAGCUCCUCGAACUGCUGGGAUUUAUCAGUUUGCUAAUUGCAUUUGUUCUGUUCUUUCAUUCAGUAGCUAUUAAUACAAUCUGUUAUU